rnacentral:rRNA from 1 species
AGAUUGAACGCUGGCGGCAUGCCUUACACAUGCAAGUCGAACGGUAGAGUAGCAAUACUCGAGAGUGGCGAACGGGUGAGUAAUAUAUCGGAACGUGCCCAGUCGUGGGGGAUAACGUAGAGAAAUUUACGCUAAUACCGCAUACGAUCUACGGAUGAAAGCGGGGGAUUCGCAAGAACCUCGCGCGAUUGGAGCGGCUGAUAUCAGAUUAGGUGUUGGUGAGGUAAAAGCUCACCAAGCCGACGAUCUGUAGCUGGUUUGAGAGAACGACCAGCCACACUGGGACUGAGACACGGCCAGACUCUACGGAGCAGCAGUGGGAAUUUGGACAAUAGGCGAAAGACCUGAUCCAGCAA